GUGUCAGCAGCCGCGGUAAGACAGAGGGUGCAAACGUUGUUCGGAAUUACUGGGCGUAAAGCGUGUGUAGGUGGCUGCGUAAGUCGGAUGUGAAAGCCCUGGGCUCAACUCAGGAAGUGCACUCGAUACUGCGUAGCUUGAGUACCGGAGAGGUUGGUGGAAUUCUCGGUGUAGAGGUGAAAUUCGUAGAUAUCGAGAGGAACACCUGUGGCGAAGGCGGCCAACUGGACGAGUACUGACACUGAGACACGAAAGCGUGGGGAGCAAACAGGAUUAGAAACCCUCGUAGUCC
rnacentral:rRNA from 1 species